GACGAAGGGGGCUAGCGUUGUUCGGAAUUACUGGGCGUAAAGCGUGUGUAGGUGGUUUUCCAAGUUGGAUGUGAAAGCCUUGAGCUCAACUCAAGAAAUGCAUUCAGGACUGGAUGACUAGAGGACCGGAGAGGAUAGUGGAAUUCCCAGUGUAGUGGUGAAAUACGUAGAGAUUGGGAAGAACACCAGUGGCGAAGGCGGCUAUCUGGACGGUUUCUGACACUAAGACUCGAAAGCGUGGGGAGCAAACAGG
rnacentral:rRNA from 1 species